UACGUAGGGGGCAAGCGUUGUCCGGAUUUAUUGGGCGUAAAGAGCGUGUAGGCGGCCGUACAGGUCAGCUGUGAAAUCUCGAGGCUCAACUUCGAGCUGUCGGUGGAAACUGUCUGGCUAGAGUCCGGAAGAGGAGAAUGGAAUUCCUGGUGUAGCGGUGAAAUGCGCAGAUAUCAGGAAGAACACCCGUGGCGAAGGCGGUUCUCUGGGACGGUACUGACGCUGAGACGCGAAAGCGUGGGGAGCGAACAGG
rnacentral:rRNA from 1 species